rnacentral:rRNA from 1 species
AGAGUUUGAUCCUGGCUCAGGACGAACGCUGGCGGCGCGCCUAACACAUGCAAGUCGAACGAGCGAGAGAGAGCUUGCUUUCUCGAGCGAGUGGCGAACGGGUGAGUAACGCGUGAGGAACCUGCCUCAAAGAGGGGGACAACAGUUGGAAACGACUGCUAAUACCGCAUAAGCCCACGGGUCGGCAUCGACCAGAGGGAAAAGGAGCAAUCCGCUUUGAGAUGGCCUCGCGUCCGAUUAGCUAGUUGGUGAGGUAAUGGCCCACCAAGGCGACGAUCGGUAGCCGGACUGAGAGGUUGAACGGCCACAUUGGGACUGAGACACGGCCCAGACUCCUACGGGAGGCAGCAGUGGGGAAUAUUGCACAAUGGGGGAAACCCUGAUGCAGCGACGCCGCGUGGAGGAAGAAGGUCUUCGGAUUGUAAACUCCUGUUGUUGAGGAAGAUAAUGACGGUACUCAACAAGGAAGUGACGGCUAACUACGUGCCAGCAGCCGCGGUAAAACGUAGGUCACAAGCGUUGUCCGGAAUUACUGGGUGUAAAGGGAGCGCAGGCGGGAAGACAAGUUGGAAGUGAAAUCCAUGGGCUCAACCCAUGAACUGCUUUCAAAACUGUUUUUCUUGAGUAGUGCAGAGGUAGGCGGAAUUCCCGGUGUAGCGGUGGAAUGCGUAGAUAUCGGGAGGAACACCAGUGGCGAAGGCGGCCUACUGGGCACCAACUGACGCUGAGGCUCGAAAGUGUGGGUAGCAAACAGGAUUAGAUACCCUGGUAGUCCACACCGUAAACGAUGAUUACUAGGUGUUGGAGGAUUGACCCCUUCAGUGCCGCAGUUAACACAAUAAGUAAUCCACCUGGGGAGUACGACCGCAAGGUUGAAACUCAAAGGAAUUGACGGGGGCC